rnacentral:rRNA from 1 species
UUAAGCGACUAAGCGUACACGGUGGAUGCCCUGGCAGUCAGAGGCGAUGAAGGACGUGCUAAUCUGCGAAAAGCGUCGGUAAGGUGAUAUGAACCGUUAUAACCGGCGAUGUCCGAAUGGGGAAACCCAGUGCAAUUCGUUGCACUAUCGUUAACUGAAUACAUAGGUUAACGAGGCGAACCGGGGGAACUGAAACAUCUAAGUACCCCGAGGAAAAGAAAUCAACCGAGAUUCCCCCAGUAGCGGCGAGCGAACGGGGAGCAGCCCAGAGUCUGAAUCAGCUUGUGUGUUAGUGGAACGGUCUGGAAAGUCCGACGGUACAGGGUGAUAGUCCCGUACACCAAAAUGCACAGGUUGUGAACUCGAAGAGUAGGGCGGGACACGUGGUAUCCUGUCUGAAUAUGGGGGGACCAUCCUCCAAGGCUAAAUACUCCUGACUGACCGAUAGUGAACCAGUACCGUGAGGGAAAGGCGAAAAGAACCCCGGCGAGGGGAGUGAAAAAGAACCUGAAACCGUGUACGUACAAGCAGUGGGAGCACCUUCGGGUGUGACUGCGUACCUUUUGUAUAAUGGGUCAGCGACUUAUAUUCUGUAGCAAGGUUAACCGAAUAGGGGAGCCGAAGGGAAACCGAGUCUUAACUGGGCGUUAAGUUGCAGGGUAUAGACCCGAAACCCGGUGAUCUAGCCAUGGGCAGGUUGAAGGUUGGGUAACACUAACUGGAGGACCGAACCGACUAAUGUUGAAAAAUUAGCGGAUGACUUGUGGCUGGGGGUGAAAGGCCAAUCAAACCGGGAGAUAGCUGGUUCUCCCCGAAAGCUAUUUAGGUAGCGCCUCGUGAACUCAUCUUCGGGGGUAGAGCACUGUUUCGGCUAGGGGGUCAUCCCGACUUACCAACCCGAUGCAAACUACGAAUACCGAAGAAUGUUAUCACGGGAGACACACGGCGGGUGCUAACGUCCGUCGUGAAGAGGGAAACAACCCAGACCGCCAGCUAAGGUCCCAAAGUCAUGGUUAAGUGGGAAACGAUGUGGGAAGGCACAGACAGCCAGGAUGUUGGCUUAGAAGCAGCCAUCAUUUAAAGAAAGCGUAAUAGCUCACUGGUCGAGUCGGCCUGCGCGGAAGAUGUAACGGGGCUAAACCAUGCACCGAAGCUGCGGCAGCGACACUAUGUGUUGUUGGGUAGGGGAGCGUUCUGUAAGCCUGUGAAGGUGGCCUGUGAGGGUUGCUGGAGGUAUCAGAAGUGCGAAUGCUGACAUAAGUAACGAUAAAGCGGGUGAAAAGCCCGCUCGCCGGAAGACCAAGGGUUCCUGUCCAACGUUAAUCGGGGCAGGGUGAGUCGACCCCUAAGGCGAGGCCGAAAGGCGUAGUCGAUGGGAAACAGGUUAAUAUUCCUGUACUUGGUGUUACUGCGAAGGGGGGACGGAGAAGGCUAUGUUAGCCGGGCGACGGUUGUCCCGGUUUAAGCAUGUAGGCUGGUUGUCCAGGCAAAUCCGGAUAAUCAAGGCUGAGGUGUGAUGACGAGGCACUACGGUGCUGAAGUAACAAAUGCCCUGCUUCCAGGAAAAGCCUCUAAGCAUCAGGUAACAUUAAAUCGUACCCCAAACCGACACAGGUGGUCAGGUAGAGAAUACCAAGGCGCUUGAGAGAACUCGGGUGAAGGAACUAGGCAAAAUGGUGCCGUAACUUCGGGAGAAGGCACGCUGGUGUGUAGGUGAAGUCCCUGCGGAUGGAGCUGAGACCAGUCGAAGAUACCAGCUGGCUGCAACUGUUUAUUAAAAACACAGCACUGUGCAAACACGAAAGUGGACGUAUACGGUGUGACGCCUGCCCGGUGCCGGAAGGUUAAUUGAUGGGGUUAGCGGUAACGCGAAGCUCUUGAUCGAAGCCCCGGUAAACGGCGGCCGUAACUAUAACGGUCCUAAGGUAGCGAAAUUCCUUGUCAGGU